rnacentral:rRNA from 1 species
UACGUAGGGCGCAAGCGUUUGUCCGGAUUCACUGGGUGUAAAGGGUGCGCAGGCGGGAAAGUAAGUUAGAGGUGAAAUCUCACAGCUCAACUGUGAAACUGCCUUUGAUACUGCUUUCUUGAGUUAGGGAGAGGUUGAUGGAAUUCCGAGGUGUAGCGGUGAAAUGCGUAGAUAUCUGGAAGACACCGGUGGACGAAGGCGGUCAACUGGCC